rnacentral:rRNA from 1 species
GAUGAACGCUGGCGGUAUGCUUAACACAUGCAAGUCGAACGGUCACUUCGGUGAUAGUGGCGGACGGGUGAGUAACGCGUGAGAAUCUGUCUUCAGGUCGGGGACAACAGUUAGAAAUGACUGCUAAUACCGGAUGUGCCUUUGGGUGAAAGAUUUAUUGCCUGAAAAAGAGCUCGCGUCAGAUUAGCUAGUAGGUGGUGUAAGAGACUACCUAGGCUCCGAUCUGUAGCUGGUCUGAGAGGACGAUCAGCCACACUGGAACUGAGACACGGUCCAGACUCCUACGGGAGGGAGCAGUGGGGAAUUUUCCGCAAUGGGCGAAAGCCUGACGGAGCAAUACCGCGUGAGGGACGAAGGCUUUUGGGUCGUAAACCUCUUUUCUCAAGGAAGAUGAUGACGGUACUUGAGGAAUAAGCAUCGGCUAACUCUGUG